GAGCAGUAAAAUUUUUGGAGUCCCUCUCAUGUAUGUCAGCAAGUUAAGUAUUUCUUUAGUUUACAGUAGUAAUUGGGGCAGUAUUAGAUUUUUUUUGUUCUGUGAAUCCCUCUCAUGUAUGUCUGAAAUUAAGUACUGUGUUUCUUUCAGUUUACAGUAGUAAUUUGAGCAGUAGUAAUUUUUUUGCUUCCUGAAUACCUCUCAUGUAUGUCUGCAAAUCAAAUAUUUUUUGCAGCUUACAGUAGUAACUGGAAGAUAUUUAUAGAAUUAGGUAAAUUUUCGUUGGGUACCAAAUGAGCACAUAUCAUAUUUGGAUACAUGGCGUGGUCUAUAGCUAUGCAUGUUAAAUAGUAAUUAGGUUUUACCACGUCCCAGUGUAUUUUAAUCUAUAGGAUUGUGAAUGAUUAAGAUUCAUAGAAUCUGACAUGUAAUCUAGGCAGUUCUAUCUUAUCCAUAAAAGAAAAAAGAUGGAGUAAUUAAUUUAGGUUCGUCGUGACCAUUCACUAGGAUUUAGAGAUUACAAUAUUUCAAAAUUGGUACAGUUUGCGCAUUAUGUACCUUGGAUCACUUUAAGUGAAACGGAAGAUUGUUACUUUUUUUUUGCAUGUACAGCUCAGUAGCUUCUCAUGGUGGAGCACAAGGCCCUGCUGCCAUUAGCCUUGGAAAUGUUAACUCUGUAGGGAGCCCAACAUAACAGAAGUCUCAAGAUGAUGCCUAGAAGAUUGAGGUGAAGAAUGGAAGAUGAUGCAUGGUAGUACAUGUGCUUAGUUGAUGUUGUUCUAUGCCAUUUUGUGAGAAAACAAGAUUGAGAAAUGAUCUUGUUUUAUUGCUAUGUCAUUCUGCGAGGAUGGAUAAUUGUGUACUUAUGUUUAUUUGAUGUUACGUCAUUUUGUGAGAAUCUGAGAGCUUAUUUGGUGAUGUAAACUUGUCCUAUGUCAUUUUGUGAGAAUCUAAGAGCUCAUUUGAUGUUGUGCACUUUUGCUAUGUCUUGGUGAGAACUUGGGAGCUUAAGUGAAUGUUGUGCUAUAUGUUUUAUGUAUAUGUGUUAAGAGAACCCGAUGGAUA
rnacentral:lncRNA from 1 species